rnacentral:rRNA from 1 species
GACGAACGCUGGCGGCGUGCUUAACACAUACAAGUCGAACGGAAAGGCCCUGCUCUUGUGGGGUGCUCGAUUGGCGAACGGGUGUGUAACACGCGAGUAACCUCCCCUUGACUUUGGGAUAACUUUAGGAAACUGGGGCUAAUACCGGAUAGGAGCUCCUGCUGCAUGGUGGGCGUUGGAAAGUUUCGGCGGUUGGGGAUGGACUCGCGGCUUAUCAGCUUGUUGGUGGGGUAGUGGCUUACCAAGGCUUUGACGGGUAGCCGGCCUGAGAGGGUGACCGGCGACAUUGGGACUGAGAUACGGCCCAGAAUCCUACGGGAGGCAGCAGUGGGGAAUAUUGCACAAUGGGCGGAAGCCUGAUGCAGCAGCGCCGCGUGCGGGAUGACGGCCUUCGGGUUGUAAACCGCUUUCGCCUGUGACGAAGCGUGAGUGACGGUAAUGAGUAAAGAAGCACCGGCUAACUACGUG